ensembl:lncRNA
GUUUUAUUAUAUAUGAUAUUGGGAGGGUCUUAUUAUCUGUGAUAUUGGGGGGGUCUUAUUAUCGGUGGUAUUGGGAGGUUUUUACUAUCUGUGUUAUUGGGAGGGUCUUUUUAUCUGUGAUAUUGGAUUGUUUAUGGUUGAGAGGGUCUUGUUAUCUGUGAUAUUGGGAGGGUCUUAUUAUAUUUUAUAUUGAGAGGGUCUUAUUAUCUAUGAUAUUGGGAGGUUCUUGUUAGAUUGGGAGUGUCUUAUUAUCUGUGAUAUUGGGAUGUUUACGGUUGGGGGGGGGUCUUAUUAUCUAUGAUAUUGGGAGGUUCUUGUUCGAUUGGGAGUGUCUUAUUAUCAGUGAUAUUGGGAUGUUUACGGUUGGGAGGGUCUUAUUAUCUGUGAUAUUGGGAUGUUUACGGUUGGGGGGGUCUUAUUACCUAUGAUAUUGGGAGGGUCUUAUUAUCUAUGAUAUUGGGAAGGUCUUAUUAUCUGUGAUAUUGGGAUGUUUACGGUUGGGAGGGUCUUAUUAUAUGUACUAUAGGGAGGGUCUUAUUAUAUGUUAUAUUGAGAGGGUCUUAUUAUCUGUGAUAUUGGGAGGGUCGUAUUAUCUGUGAUAUUGAGAGGAUGUUAUUAUCUGUGAUAUUGGGAGGGUCUUAUUAUCUGUGAUAUUGGGAUGUGUACGGUUGGGAGGGUCUUAUUAUAUGUACUAUUGGGAGGGUCUUAUUAUAUGUUAUAUUGAGAGGGUCUUAUUAUCUGUGAUAUUGGGAGGGUCGUAUUAUCUGUGAUAUUGGGAUGGUUACGGUUGGGAGGGUGUUAUCUGUGAUAUUGGGAGGGUCUUAUUAUCUGUGAUAUUGGGAUGGUUAUGGUUGGGAUGGGUAACCCUAACUAAUUUGAAUCCAUUUGUCUGUUGGAUGUCAGGAUGGGUUAGUGUUCAUGCAGUUAGUUCUGUUACCGGAAACUACGCUACUAUACUAUUUCCUGUGCUUUCAUAUGAUCAUUUUUUAUAAAUAUAUAUUUAAAAAAAUAUUCAGCUAGUGUUCUCGUUAUUAUAAUAUCGAGCUUGUCGUCUGUCCUCUGUAGUUGAUUGACUGUCGC